GCCAGCGUAGCUCAAUCGGUAGAGCGUGAGAUUUUUAAUCUUCCGUGGUUAUCUCAAGGCUGCGGGUUCGACCCCCGCCGUUGGCU